rnacentral:lncRNA from 1 species
AAGUCAAUAGUGCUUUGAUUGUCACCAUGCAACAUACUAUUCCUAUACUUGUUACCCAAUCCAAAAAAGACUACAAAUCUAUCAUCGCUUUGCUAGCUUUACAUACAGUAACAUACUCAUUCUUAGUAGUGGAAAGAGCAACUAUCUUCUGCAACUUAAAUACCCAACUAAUUGUUGUACUAUCCAAAGUGUCUCUGUGUGUGUGUGUGUGUGUGUGUGUAUUUCCUAACAUGUCAACGUCUAUAUGUUCCUGUAAUCCCAAACCUGAUCUCUAAAAUAUGAAGCUGACCCUAAAGUACCUAUCAAGUGUUUGAAAUUCUACUUUACUACCCUCAGCGCUGUUUGCCUGGAUCGCUCAAAUAUCUACUCACCACGGCAUGUGCUGCGUCCGAUCUUGUACACACCGUGGUAUACAUAAGGAUGCCAAUAACAGAGACAUAAGGCUCCUUGACCAUAAGGCUCACUCGUCCUCUACAAAGGGUGACUGCUUAUUUGAUAGACUGAAGUAACUAGCCAAAAUUGAGUCCGAAUAUUAUCCCACAGAGUUUGAUUUAGUUCAAUGUUAUUUAUCCAGACCUUAACCAAAACUAAAUUUUAACAAGUGAUUCAAUAACCUAAUUACUCUCUAACUUAAACUAAUUAUACAUGCAAUGAACAAAAUGCAAAUUGAUGUUUAAAUUAACUAAAAUGCUAUUGAGUGUUGAAAACGCAAUUUAAUGUAUUCCGUGAUUGUAUGACGCAUUAGGAUCACGAAUUAUGAUGUAGUGUUCAAUUUAACCCUAAUUUCACAAAUUGACAACACAAUGAAAUUUUGAAGAAUCAAUGCUCCUAAAUCUAUCCAGCACACUCUCUCAAGUGGCGUUGAACCUAUUCCCCUUCUCUUGAAUACAAAUAUAAGUCACCCAAACUCACACAAUUACGGGUCCUUAAUUGCAC